rnacentral:rRNA from 1 species
GAUGAACGCUGGCGGCGUGCUUAACACAUGCAAGUCGAACGGAAAGGCUCCUGCUUGCAGGGGUACUCGAGUGGCGAACGGGUGAGUAACACGUGGGUGAUCUGCCCUGCACUUCGGGAUAAGCCUGGGAAACUGGGUCUAAUACCGGAUAGGACGAUGGUUUGGAUGCCAUUGUGGAAAGUUUUUCGGUGUGGGAUGAGCUCGCGGCCUAUCAGCUUGUUGGUGGGGUAAUGGCCUACCAAGGCGUCGACGGGUAGCCGGCCUGAGAGGGUGUACGGCCACAUUGGGACUGAGAUACGGCCCAGACUGCUACGGGAGGCAGCAGUGGGGAAUAUUGCACAAUGGGCGCAAGCCUGAUGCAGCGACGCCGCGUGGGGGAUGACGGCCUUCGGGUUGUAAACUCCUUUCGCUAGGGACGAAGCGCAAGUGACGGUACCUGGAGAAGAAGCACCGGCUAACUACGUG